rnacentral:rRNA from 1 species
UACGUAGGUGGCAAGCGUUAUCCGGAAUUAUUGGGCGUAAAGAGCGCGCAGGUGGUUGAUUAAGUCUGAUGUGAAAGCCCACGGCUUAACCGCGGAGGGUCAUUGGAAACUGGUCGACUUGAGUGCAGAAGUGGGAAGUGGAAUUCCAUGUGUAGCGGUGAAAUGCGUAGAGAUAUGGAGGAACACCAGUGGCGAAGGCGGCUUCCUGGUCUGUAACUGACACUGAGGCGCGAAAGCGUGGGGAGCAAACAGGAUUAGAUA